UUUUUAACUUUGUAGUUGUGUCUUUACACAAUAUAGAACUGUAUAUUAAUGCUUCUGUAUAUGACGCGAUCACAAUAACACUUAUUUUUCACUUUUUUUUAAAAAAAAAUCAGGCUAAACAAAAAUUGGUAAUUCACAAUAUGCCAUCUGGAAAGCACAUGAAAGGAUGCUGUAUGAUUAAAAAGAACACACUGCAUGAAGGUCCUGUUCACUAGAGUGUGUAGUCAUG